rnacentral:rRNA from 1 species
UCAUCAUGCCCCUUAUGACCUGGGCUACACACGUGCUACAAUGGGCGGUACAAAGGGUCGCGAACCCGCGAGGGGGAGCCAAGUCCCAAAAAAGCCGCCUACUCAGUUCGGAUUGCAGGCUGCAACUCGCCUGCAUGAAGCCGGAAUCGCUAGCAAUCGCGGAUCAGCAUGCCGCGGUGAAUACGUUCCCGGGCCUU